GACGAACGCUGGCGGCGUGCUUAACACAUGCAAGUCGAACGGAAAGGCCCUGCUUUUGUGGGGUGCUCGAGUGGCGAACGGGUGGGUAACACGUGAGUAACCUGCCCUUGACUUUGGGAUAACUUCAGGAAACUGGGGCUAAUACCGGAUAGGAGCUCCUGCUGCAUGGUGGGGGUUGGAAAGUUUCGGCGGUUGGGGAUGGACUCGCGGCUUAUCAGCUUGUUGGUGGGGUAGUGGCUUACCAAGGCUUUGACGGGUAGCCGGCCUGAGAGGGUGACCGGCCACAUUGGGACUGAGAUACGGCCCAGACUCCUACGGGAGGCAGCAGUGGGGAAUAUUGCACAAUGGGCGGAAGCCUGAUGCAGCAACGCCGCGUGCGGGAUGACGGCCUUCGGGUUGUAAACCGCUUUCGCCUGUGACGAAGCGUGAGUGACGGUAAUGGGUAAAGAAGCACCGGCUAACUACGUGCCAGCAGCCGCGGUGAUACGUAGGGUGCGAGCGUUGUCCGGAUUUAUUGGGCGUAAAGGGCUCGUAGGUGGUUGAUCGCGUCGGAAGUGUAAUCUUGGGGCUUAACCCUGAGCGUGCUUUCGAUACGGGUUGACUUGAGGAAGGUAGGGGGGAAUGGAAUUCCUGGUGGAGCGGUGGAAUGCGCAGAUAUCAGGAGGAACACCAGUGGCGAAGGCGGUUCUCUGGGCCUUUCCUGACGCUGAGGAGCGAAAGCGUGGGGAGCGAACAGGCUUAGAUACCCUGGUAGUCCACGCUGUAAACGGUGGGUACUAGGUGUGGGGUCCAUUCCACGGGUUCCGUGCCGUAGCUAACGCUUUAAGUACCCCGCCUGGGGAGUACGGCCGCAAGGCUAAAACUCAAAGGAAUUGACGGGGCCCCGCACAAGCGGCGGAGCAUGCGGAUUAAUUCGAUGCAACGCGUAGAACCUUACCUGGGUUUGACAUGGAUCGGGAGUGCUCAGAGAUGGGUGUGCCUCUUUUGGGGUCGGUUCACAGGUGGUGCAUGGCUGUCGUCAGCUCGUGUCGUGAGAUGUUGGGUUAAGUCCCGCAACGAGCGCAACCCUUGUUCACUGUUGCCAGCACGUUAUGGUGGGGACUCAGUGGAGACCGCCGGGGUCAACUCGGAGGAAGGUGGGGAUGACGUCAAGUCAUCAUGCCCCUUAUGUCCAGGGCUUCACGCAUGCUACAAUGGCUGGUACAGAGAGUGGCGAGCCUGUGAGGGUGAGCGAAUCUCGGAAAGCCGGUCUCAGUUCGGAUUGGGGUCUGCAACUCGACCUCAUGAAGUCGGAGUCGCUAGUAAUCGCAGAUCAGCAACGCUGCGGUGAAUACGUUCCCGGGGCU
rnacentral:rRNA from 1 species